AAGACUAUACUUUCAGGGAUCAUUUCUAUAGUUUCUGACUUGAGAGAUGCAUUUCUAAAGUGUUUGGUCACGCUAACCAUGAUGAGGAGUCGAGCUCCUUCUCCUGAGCGCGAAGCGGGCGCUGAGUGCUGGUUAAUCCAGCUGCUCGCCGUCAUUGAUGACCGUUCCGUUCUUCUCGCGAAGAAUCGGAGGGAGAAGGAGCUGUCUGAAUGGUU
ensembl:snoRNA small nucleolar RNA U3